CACGAAAAAAAAAAAAAAAAAACAGUUUUACAGCCGCAAGAUCAGAAAUUCAGAAGCUCACAACACAACUGAAAGGAAAAAAUAAAAAUCAAUCGCAUCAAUUGAGCUGCUUCCGAUCCAUUUGAGCCGCCGGCGAUGGCGUCAACAGUUAGUGAUAGGAUUGAACUAGCGAAGCUUUGUAGCUCUAAGGAGUGGUCCAAAGCAAUUCGAAUUCUCGAUUCACUUCUUGCUCAAACUUGCGUCAUUCAAGAUAUCUGUAACCGAGCGUUUUGCUAUAGCCAAUUGGAGCUUCACAAGCAUGUAAUUAAGGAUUGUGAUAAGGCACUUCAGCUCGAUCCUAAGCUUCUUCAAGCUUAUAUAUUUAAAGGACGUGCAUUAUCUGCUCUUGGUAAGAAAGAGGAAGCUCUUCUAAUUUGGGAGCAAGGGUAUGAACAUGCAGUUCAUCAGUCUGCAGACUUAAAGCAACUGUUAGAGCUUAAAGAGCUGCUCAAAAUUGCAAAGCAGAACACCGCAGUUGCCAGCAACAAUCAUUCGGUGCAGUCAUCUGGCCCUGAGUCCAACACUGGGCCUCUACUUUCUACCAAAUCUGGUGAAACUUGUGAUAUUAGUAAGGCCUCGGAUAGGAAACUUAAAACAUGCAGCAGUGGGAUGUUGGAAAGCUCUGAGAAAUCAAAUAAUAGCUCUGUUCUACAAAAUUCCUCAAGUAAUAAUGCCAAAAAGCAUAAGAAGAUUGAAUGUGAACCAAAGGAAUUGCAUGAGAGACAAGCAAAUAGAACCAACAACAAUUGCAAAAAAUUGGGCUAUCCAUCUCUGGUUUGCAGUGAGUUAAGUGAUAUAUCUGAAGACAGUGGGAAAUCAUCUGCAGUAACUAGUGAAUCAAGUGAACAGUCAGAACCAAAUGAGUUGCAGGAAAUUCUCAGUCAGUUGAAUAAUAAAUGUGAUGUUCGUGUUGAAUUGAGUGAUGAAGGCAAGAGAAACAAAAAAUUCUGUGUUACCAGGGUUAACAAAACCAAGUCCAUUAAUGUUGAUUUCCGAUUAUCAAGGGGAAUAGCACAGGUUAACGAAGGAAAAUAUGGUAAUGCUGUAUCCAUCUUUGACCAGAUACUAGAACAAGAUCCAAUGUACCCGGAGGCACUUAUCGGCAGGGGAACAGCGUUGGCAUUUCAAAGAGAACUUGAUGCAGCUAUCUCUGAUUUUACAAAGGCUAUACAGUCAAAUCCAUCUGCUGGUGAGGCCUGGAAACGCAGAGGGCAAGCCCGUGCUGCUUUAGGUGAAUCUGUUGAGGCAAUUACAGACUUGACCAAAGCGUUGGAGUUUGAGCCAGACUCUGCCGAUAUAUUACAUGAAAGAGGAAUUGUCAAUUUUAAGUUUAAAGAUUUCAAAGGUGCUGUUGAAGACCUCUCUACAUGUGUAAAGUUCGAUAAGGAUAACAAAUCUGCGUAUACGUAUUUGGGCUUGGCCUUAUCCUCUCUAGGAGAAUAUAGAAAGGCUGAGGAGGCACAUAAGAAAGCAAUCCAAAUUGAAAGGAAUUUCCUCGAGGCUUGGGCACAUCUAGCACAGUUUUAUCAAGACCUAGCAAAUUCAGAGAAGGCCUUGGAAUGCCUUCAUCAGAUUUUGCAAAUAGAUGGGAGGUACGCGAAAGCAUAUCACCUGCGCGGGCUGUUACUUCAUGGAAUGGGAGAGCAUAGGAAUGCUAUAAAAGAUUUAUCAAUGGGGUUGGCUAUUGAUAGCGCAAACAUUGAAUGCUUGUAUCUACGAGCUUCUUGCUAUCAUGCUAUUGGAUUAUAUAAAGAAGCAGUGAAGGACUAUGAUGCUGCUUUAGAUCUUGAAUUAGAUUCUAUGGAAAAGUUUGUGCUUCAAUGCUUGGCGUUCUAUCAGAAAGAAAUUGCAUUAUACACAGCGUCAAAGAUCAACAGCGAAUUUUCUUGGUUUGAUAUUGAUGGAGAUAUCGAUCCCCUUUUCAAGGAGUAUUGGUGCAAAAGGCUGCACCCAAAAAAUGUUUGCGAAAAGGUCUACAGGCAACCUCCUUUAAAAGAAUCUUUGAAAAAGGGAAAGCAAAGAAAGCAAGAAUUUACUUUCACCAAGCAAAAAACUGCCCUUCUACAGGCUGCAGAUUCUAUCGGUAGGAAUAUCCAGUAUCAUUGCCCUGGUUUCUUGCAUAAUAGGCGCCAGCACCGCAUGGCAGGAUUAGCUGCUAUUGAGAUAGCACAAAAAGUCUCAAAAGCUUGGCGUGCCUUACAAGCUGAAUGGAGAAACUCAACUAAAGGCACAGGAAAGUCUGGGAAGAGACUCAGGAGAAGGGAAAAACUAAAUUCUGUUAGUUUAAACAGAGGUGGAGCUGGUUGUAGCACUAGCAGUUCCUCAGACACAUCUACUUCAUACAGUUUGAUUGAUGAUAGGUCAACUGGACGUUCCAUGAUGUCAUGGAACCACUUGUACUCAUUGGCUGUCAAAUGGAGACAAAUAUCUGAACCAUGUGAUCCAGUGGUGUGGAUUAACAAGCUAAGUGAGGAAUUCAAUACUGGAUUUGGGUCUCACACUCCUCUUGUUCUCGGUCAAGCCAAAGUUGUUCGCUACCAUCCCAAUUCUCAGAGAACCUUGACUGUUGCCAAGGCUGUUAUCAAGGAGAAUAAAUACGUGUGCAACAAGGAAGACAGGAUAAUUGAUCUUUCUGAACAACAGAAGUUGCAAGAAAUAAUGGCUGCAGAAUCCAGCUCUGAUCUUUACAGAGUUGUUGGUCAAGACUUUUGGUUGGCCACCUGGUGUAACAGUACGGCACUUGAAGGGAAGCGUCUUGAAGGAACAAGGAUCACUGUAGUGAAAAUGGGUGAGAUUGGUUACGACUUUGCAAUUAGAACACCUUGUACACCUGCUAGAUGGGACGACUUUGAUGUGGAGAUGACAUCAGCCUGGGAGGCUCUUUGCGAUGCUUACUGUGGUGAGAAUUAUGGGUCAACAGAUUUUGAUGUGCUUGAAAAUGUGAGAGAUGCAAUCUUAAGGAUGACAUAUUACUGGUAUAAUUUCAUGCCGCUUUCCAGAGGAACUGCUGUUGUUGGAUUCAUAGUUUUGCUUGGAUUACUGCUCGCUGCUAAUAUGGAGUUCACAGGAAGCAUUCCAAAAGGUCUGCAGGUGGAUUGGGAAGCCAUCCUGGAGUUUGACUCGAGUUCCUUUGUAGAUUCUGUAAAGAAAUGGUUGUACCCAUCUCUCAAAGUCAGCACAUCAUGGAAAAGCUACCCAGAUGUCACGUCAACAUUUGAGACGACUGGAUCAGUUGUUGCUGCUCUGAGCACCUAUUCAGACUAAGGGAGAUACGUCAUUUAUUGGAGUAUUCAAUUAUACUAAGACCAUGCACUUGACAAAGGGCAACUUCUUAAUCUACUCAACAACGAGGUUUCAUCUGGGAUCAUUUAUCUGGAGAAAUUUCGCUGGUGCAUUAUCUGACUUGAUCCUGCUGCGGAUGAAUUGAGGCGAGAUGUUUUACAUUAUUAACAUUCUCCUAGUGUACCAUUACUUGUGAAUUAUUGUAUUUUAGUUGUCUUGUGUAUGAUCUGCCCUCUCAUUGUUUCCUUACUUUUAGAUUACCAUGUUAGAUUUCAGGAUAGUUAUUUGAAAAGAAAUGAAUAAAUGGGUUUUCUAGUC